GGCAAACAGCGCAGGUCCGCUUCCCGUCUGUGGAAGCUUUGUUCUUUCGCUCUUGACAAUAAAUCUUAAUGCUGCUCUCUCUUUGGGUCCAUGCCAUCUUUAAGAGCUGUGACACUUACAGCCAAGGUCCGGGGCUCCAUUCUUGAAGUCAGCGAGACCACGAAUCCACCGGAAGGAGCAAACUCUGGACAUGGCAUGUGCUUUUGCAGGAAGGACGCUGGACUCUUGCACUAUAAGUUGAAAACAUCGCUUAUAAACAAUACAUCACAGCACACUUGCAGAGAGAGCACUGUUUUGGCAACUAUAGAUAAAGCUGUGUGCCGGUUUUUGUGUGAGCAUGAGUUUUCAACUCAUUUGAGUAAAUACCAAAGAGCACGAUUGCUGGAUCAUAAGGUGCCUUCUGCCAUGAUUGUAAGUUUCAUGAGGCCUCCACAGCCAUGCAGAACUGUUCAUCAAAAUAAGAUAUGAUCAAGGUACAAAAGAGUUAAAGAAGCUAUUUAUUUUAAUGUUUCCUUGGAGAGCACACUUGUUAUUGUAUGUAUGCAAAAGAUGAUCUUACUCUUGAGAGCCACUAGAACUCUUUGAAGAAAAAAAAAUGCUAUUUGCUAUAGGGAAAUCUUUCUGGAAAAGUAAUAAUUUCACCUUUGAGUCAGCUUCCCUGGACUCUUGCCUCAUACAUCUUCAGCCAAGAUGCCUGCCCCAGCUUUGCCUUCCACCAUGAGUAAAAGCUUCCCAAGUCCUCCCCAGAAGCAGAUGCUGGCGCUAUGCUUCUGGUACAGCCUGAAAAACCUUGAGCCAAUUAAACCUCAGUGAGCUCAAGAUGUCUUUGUUGAAACAGAACCUCCCGAAGUUACAGUAUUGGUUUUGGGGCUCCACACAGAGAACACAUCACGGAAGCUAUAAUUGAGGAAGACAAAGCUGUCAGGACGACACCAAGAGAGUUAGAAAGCCCAAGAGUGGAGCAUUCUUCACCAUGAUUCCACCUGACACUUGGCUGAAAGCAUUUUGCACUAAUUUGCUUUGUGCCCGUUCAGACAAUCUAAAAAGAAAGGAUGGGGGGACAACAAGUGUCUAUUACACAGAAUAAACAGCCUCUGGCAAAUGAAUACA